rfam:Daphnia pulex DAPPTscaffold_5_Cont346, whole genome shotgun sequence.
UUUGUCCUUAUCAAGUGGGAGGCCAAUACUCAAUGAACGUAUGGUGAGAGUAUUGCUGCUGAAACCAUUAUAAAUCAACGUACCCGGCAAUAUGUCCGCGGUACAAUUUUUGGAAAG